UACACCUUUCGAGAGAGUUUUUUUAACUGAUCUUCAUCCCUACUCCCACAUACCCACGUUUCUCUUUCUCCCCACGGGCCUAACUAUUUCUCUUUCAACCACUUCGUUGUUCUUCUUCUCUAUUCAAAUGAAAACCUCCACAAAUUUUGUACACAUUGUGAAGAAUAAAAAAGAUCAAUUACAAACCAUGCAGGAAAAUAAAAAAAGUACACCAUACACCUAGAAAGAGUCUGAGGACCCUCCGUGAUGAUCUCGAGGCUCCCAAGCUAAUUCUGAGCCCCCUUGUGAAUUACUUUUUGUCAAGACAACAUCGAAUGGAAGUUUUGACUUCUCCCUUGAGUCUAGAAAUGUCAAAUUUGAUUAGGUUGCAUAUUUCUUUUGUGUGCACGGGGUUUUAAACAAAACUUAGCUGAUUUUAUUGGUACCUGAUGUUGGUGCUUAAUUUUGCGACCCUGACUCGUUUAAGCGACUUUGCUUUAGUAGCCAGGGCUCCGAUUUAGCAAGCUAGGCCAGUUAAAUGGAAGUCGCUUUAGCAUCUCUCUCAUCGCUUAAACGAGCAUCACUUUACGACUAGGGGAUCACUCAAACGAGCUUAGCAGGCCAAACCAUACCCUUUUUGUGACCCUAGUGCUGCUUAAGCAAGCCUCGCUUUAGCGACCAGGGGCUUAUAAAAUAAACCGCCUCUUGCAGGCCAGUCACUUAAGAGAGAUAAGUGGUCACUUAAGUUUUAGCGAUCCAUCCCUCUUUAGAGAUUUGAUUGCAACAAUUCAAAGUCUGGUGUUUUUUUUGAGCUUGGGUCUAUGCAGUGGUGUGAUUGAAAGUGUGUGGCAUCCCUCGUUUCAGCGGGGCAACAUUCUGAGGUUGUUCGUAAAGAAAAAACUCCAGAUAUGUGAUUUGGAGCACAUGCUGUCAGCCUUAAG